GACGGACGCUACUCAAGAUGGCUGCUGGCCUAUUGACUGUACACAGAUCAAAGAGUAGGUAGGAAUGUGUGGGUUGGUUAAUGAGUGAGCUUGAGACACGUCAUGUAUGACUCGCCUGAAUUGACAUAGAACACAUGUUAUUAUUCACUGUUUGAGGAGAAUUUAUUUAGGGUGAUAAAAAGAUGUCACCCCUUUGACAUGUACGUUAAUUAAAAUGAUAGCCAUUGAAACGUUUCAGACAAAGCCAAAGGUUUUACAGGGCUUAAAACGAUUCCCUUUAACUUGGCCUUGCCUUUUCCUUGACUAUCUGUUCGUUAACAGCGUAUUCCAAUUAAGGUUUUAAUCUCAUUUAGUGAGCUGCCAAUCCGGUGUGCGUUUUGCCAUCCUGGUGUAAUUGAACGAUCUUUGACCACUUCCCGUAUCCUAAUGCCUUUUUUCCCUCACGCCUCUCAAAACAUUGAAUUAACUCGGCAGAGGAGGGCGGGAAAACCAUUGUUCAAUGGUGGAGCUGGCGAAUUGUUUAUUAAAUACAGUUAACUGGAUUAGCUCUUGAGCAAUUAACCGUUUAGAAAUCAAUUUCUUCCAGUGUUUUCUUGAGCUGGAACGAAUGAACCGUUUUCAGAAAAAAAAAAUAUCUGUGCUCAUGGUGUUUGCGUUAUUGCUUCAUUGAAGCAGUACGUGAUUUUGGCUUAAAUUAAAGAAUCAAUGAUUUUGAAUUGCUAAUAACUCGAGUCGACAGGCCUGACAACUUUGUCUUCCUAUAAAAACCUUCAGAAAUUAGAUUGAUUGAUGGGUGUUUUUCUUGCCAAAAUUAAAAUAGGUUCUUUUGUUAUUUCUCGACGGGUGAAGCUUUGAAAUGCUGCUGUCACAAUACAUUUUGACGACCUAUCUCUCUCCUCUCACGUCGACUUGAAAUCUAAAAACAAAAUCGUAUCUUAAAAGGUUUUAACAGAUUUCCAGUUCUUUAAUUCCUUAACACGAGCUGUUGACAGCUACUUCAGCGCUACGCAUCUCAACCUGUUUUGAUUCGGAGUUGAUAUUUCAAGGAGAUAUGACUUAAAUCGGUUAAGUCUUGUUCUCGAGAACAUUUCUGUCUGGUUUGAGAUUCAUCUCAAAAUAUUAAGAGUAACUUUUCGAGGGGUCAUCACUAAAGUUUAAGAAAUCUUCGAUCAGAGCCGGUAGUUUUGAUAUUUUUAUGUAUCUGAAACUCCCACUAUAUUCUGAUUACUAUUUAAUGAACUGUGGGGGUGGUCCUGAUUUUCAAGACCUCUCGGACUGUUUCUUGACACUAAAGUAAGCUUCUACGCUAUUUAUUUUUCCGAUUGUAAGGUGCACAAACCCUGUAAAUGUUCCAAGAUAUGACAGAUCGUAUAAUUAAGGCCUGCCAAGCAUCGUGCGGUCUUGUCAAUGUUUGCAAAUGUCGUAGGACAUCAGCAUAUCUACUGUGGCUCAAAACACAGGAAACAGCCACAUUGACCUCAACAAACAUCUAGGUUUUCUACAAUAAAACACAAAUGUUUUGAAUACCUGUUAGGGGGAUUACUAUCAAAGUGACAAAGAUGUUUCUGUGACCUUCAACAGCGCAUGUAUAGACCCUGUUUCUGCCAAUGUUUCAUUUCACUGAUGGUAUCGACCGCACAUCACAAUGAAUCGACCCAGAGAAAUUUUUGCCCCCCAAAAAAACCUUCUUUGCAUGCAGUUCGAUUCUUCGUUGAGGUCACAAGGACAGCUCUUUGGCGUCAUCUACUAUCGUUUUUGACAAGUGGGCAGAAUUGCGAUGACUUUGAUUUUGUCAGCGAUAGCAAAUAUCACGGAAUCAUUUCCCACGUCUUCAAGUCUUUUUUCUUCAAACCAGAACCUCGUUCAAGCUCGGUGAUCUCUCCAUAAGCUUGAGAUAAAAUCUCAGUGCAGAAAAGAACGGUUAAAUGAGAAUUUACGCCAGGUAAUUAUUUUGAGGUUCUCUUUAUCAAGUCCACGCCUCUUGUCUGAGCCUUUUCUAGUUUUAAUAGUGGGCCGGACUAACUUUUUGACCCGAACGCACUAGGAAAACAAUUUGGCGCCUCAUCAUGACACGAAGCAGAUAUUGUCAUCAAAAUAUCUUUUAUGGCUAAACUCAAACAAAUCAGUGUGUUUUAUGGUUUUCGAAAAGCUUUCUUGACACUGCAUGAGCGAAGGGUGAUGCCAAAAGAACAUUUUUUGCUCGGAGAUUAAAGGCUUACCGUCUGAACUUCCGAAAUAAGAUUGACCUCACACUAAAUCUAUUUGCUAUUUCCACCUCAAAUUGUUUCAUUUACAAUGAAGUCUGGGCUCUUGGUAAUUAGAAAAUCCCUUCGAGGGAGCCGGUGAUUAUAAAUGGUUUGAGCUGAAAGUAGUAAAAUCUCUCCUGCUAAUUCUCAGAAACAAUUUGGAGGUUUUCACUCUCUGGGAUAUCACUUCAGCCGGAAAUUAUUCAAGCGUAAAAAAAUUAAAACAAAACAAACUUUAAACGGAGUCGCAUGUCCAUGCAUACAGACCGCACAUGCUGGAUUGUUGAAGAAUGAGUAUAAGAGAUGUAGGGUAUGUUUAGUUAUCUGAUAAUUUAAUUGAAAAGGAUUUUUCUCAAAAUAUUGAGAACGUUAACAGCACUUGAAUCAUAACCCUUAAGUAUCUGAAACUCUUACACCAAAUCGAACAUUUUCAUGAAAAUUUUUUAGGGUGUUCUUCUGCUGUGGAGCUUAUGGAAUGAAAUAUGAAGUCCAUGGACAACAAUAUAUGGAACGCGUGGCAUUGGACAAGCGGAGUUGUCAACACGGAGUCAUUUAUGCCCGGUUCAGAUGAAAAACACACACUUGGGCUGUCAAACCAGUUUUAUGAACUGGGGGAAAACUAAUUAAACUUCAUGCAAACUGACCGCCAGUUUCAUUCAUGGAAAAUGAUGACACUUGACAUGCGAUUUUGUCUGCAGAGAACAAAGGUUCCAACAUUGCUUUUAUGAGCUCUCAGAUUCUUGAAGUAUUGAGACAUCAAUGUUGUGAGAAAUGCCAUUUACCUAACGUUCUAAUUUGUUCUAAUGUGCUUCCGACAGACAGACAAAAAGAAGAACGUGUUAUUGAAUAGCAAGGCUGGAUGUUCAGUUCCAUUGUGAACAGCUCCCAUGUUCUCAUAAGAAUUCUGCUACCAAAAGCAAACAAGAAAACAGAAAACUUCAUAAAGAUAUUUCAAGCGCGCCAUAAAAUACUCGCGGUAUUAUAAACAGAUAACGUGAACGCUUAAGACACUUUCUAUUUCAUAGAUAAAGCGGGGUACCAAAAGGAUAAACUUGUCAAAGGAAAUGAAUCUGUGGGUGAAAAUGUGUUCAGAGCAAAUAAAAAGACAUGGAACCUCAUGUCUUGAUUACUUGGUUAAACCUUAUUAGGGAAAUAUCGGAAGUAACUUUCACUUUAUUUGCAUUGUAGUCCAAACUUUGCCAACUUGAAGCAAGGUUUUAUUUCCACCUAAAGAAAACUUUUCAAAAAAAAAUAUUAUGACCCGCCUUUUUUUGUUCUUGAAUUCAUAACCGAGCAUAUCUCUGAAGUGUUUUAUCUCUCGUGAUUUUAAAUGGUUAAAUGAAAAGUAAUACGGGUCGAAAAACAACAGAAAUUAUCUCUCUAUGGAAAAUCUUGACGUGAAGAACAUCAUAGAAUUUCAUAGGCAGAGUUUCCAAGCAAGUGAAGUGCUUUGCAGUUAAUAAAUUCAUUCAGCGACGCGUGCUAUGCCUGAGUUGUUGUACGCUAAAAGAUAAGGCACCGCUUUAAACAAUUGACUAAUUCUUUCUGACUUAGCACAGAGGCCCGAUGAUAUCACUGAUAUUUUUGGUUCUUGAUUAGACCGAGUUUCAACAGCUUUGCAGCCGCGUGCUCAUGGCGAAAUCAGUAAAAGGUGAAGAACGCAAAGAAAAGGAUCAGCAACUGAUACCAGGGUGCUGGAGAGCAAGGAUGGAGAUUACAGGAUUAGUUUUAAGACGAAAUAAUUCCCAUAUCUGCUUUUUGUAGGAGUGGUCUUAAAAGUAAUUGAAAAGAUCAGUUUCACCCUUGAAAGUGUAAAUCGAUAAUUUUUUGUGGAAAACUACUUUCAAAUUGUAAGACAUACACAAGCCUCACCUUUUUUCGUAAAUCGCAACUGACUUUCUCUUUAUACAACGAUUAGUUGUUACGAAGCUUGAUGUCAACUUCGAGAACUUCGACUUCAAACACAUGAAGCACAACUUGGCUUUCAGACGUCACGGAAGCAGAUUCACGCAGAGAACGCAAAGAGUAUGUAGCGGUACUUGGUUGUUAAUAUUCAGUGUAGAUAUACACAUGGUGGAUAUAUAUAAAAAAAGCUUUAUUCAGUUACUCUUAAGAACAGUAAUUCUGUCACCAAACAUUCAGGUAUUCUAUUGCUUUCUUUCACAUUUUCCUCUACUGUCCAUUAAGCGAAAUGUCAUGGUAUGCAAAACAGGUUUAGUUUCUGAAGUCCAUUCGACAUUGCAGCUAGUUACAACCCAUUAAUAAUGGUAAAAAAAGGCAGUAUGGGUUUCAAACAAAACAAAACAAAAAGUAGAAAACAAAAUCCAUUAAUCGCAUUUUAAAAAAAUAUUCAAGAAGGUACUCUGUAGUCUCUUGAAUGAAAAUAAACAAUUCUCGAAGCUGUAUCGUGAAGGCUGACCUCCUUCACUCGAGUAGGUUGCUCCUUUACCGGCCGGUGAUUUCAAUACGAGUUGCGGGUAAAUUAUGGCUUUUUAAAACCUAUGCGACUAAUUCAGGUAAAUUAAAAAAGUGUUUGCCAUUUGAGUGAUCGUGUUUUGAGGGUAGUGUUCUCUGGGACGCAUAGGGGUAACUUUAAAAAAUGCGUCCAAAUGUCUGCGUAGUUGACAGCUCAUAUAUCAUCACCGUUCGACUAUAGUGUUCUAAAGUUAACUACGAAACAACUUCAAACCGAAUUUUAAGAAUAGUUUCAGUGUUAAUUUAAGUGGAGUCAAUGAGCUUUUCCUCUGCGGCGAAAAGUUGAAUUUCUGGUACAUGUAAAUAAAGAGGAAAGCUUCGGUCGCGACACUCGUCUACUGACCAUCUUGCUCGAGGGAAAACAAACCGAAAUUAUUUUUUGCGUAAGAAGUUUCAAAAAGGGCCGAGCAUUCUGUGUUCGACCGGCGGCGUUUCUUUUUUCUUUGCGAGUAAAUUCUUACACAAAAACGAGUGGGAUGUCAUCUCCUCUCAUAACUACCUUCGUUAACUGGUCUUCAACUAAUUUUAAUAGAUUCCUUGUUUUAAAAGGUUCUACCGCGUUUUAUGCAUUAAAGACAUUUUAAUAUUUCAAGAGAAAAUUUUUUUUUCAUUUUUUUAAGUGGCCCUGUUAGUUGUUGAAGCAACAACCGUUCCAAUUCAAAACAUUAUCCUUAAACAAUAAACCUAAUUCUUGCAUUUACUUGAGAU